rnacentral:rRNA from 1 species
GACGAACGCUGGCGGCGUGCCUAAUACAUGCAAGUAGAGCGCACAGUUUAUACCGUAGCUUGCUACACCAUAGACUGUGAGUUGCGAACGGGUGAGUAACGCGUAGGUAACCUGCCUGGUAGCGGGGGAUAACUAUUGGAAACGAUAGCUAAUACCGCAUAAUAUUAAUUAUUGCAUGAUAAUUAAUUGAAAGGUGCAAUUGCACCACUACCAGAUGGACCUGCGUUGUAUUAGCUAGUAGGUGAGGUAACGGCUCACCUAGGCGACGAUACAUAGCCGACCUGAGAGGGUGAUCGGCCACACUGGGACUGAGACACGGCCCAGACUCCGACGGGAGGCAGCAGUAGGGAAUCUUCGGCAAUGGACGAAAGUCUGACCGAGCAACGCCGCGUGAGUGAAGAAGGGUUUCGGAUCGUAAAGCUCUGUUGUAAGAGAAGAACGGGUGUGAGAGUGGAAAGUUCACACUGUGACGGUAUCUUACCAGAAAGGGACGGCUAACUACGUG